rnacentral:rRNA from 1 species
GACAGAGGUGCCAAGCGUUAGGCGGAAUCACUGGGCUUAAAGCGUGUGUAGGCGGAUCGUUAAGUACCUUGUGAAAUCCCACGGCUCAACCGUGGAACUGCUGGGUAUACUGGCGAUCUUGAGCCACCUAGGGGCGAGCGGAACAAGCGGUGGAGCGGUGAAAUGCGUAGAUAUCGCUUUGGAACGCCAAUGGUGAAAAACAGCUCGCUGGGGGUGUGGCUGACGCUGGAGACACGAAAGCCAGGGGAGCGAACGGG